rnacentral:sRNA from 1 species
GGGUAUAUUUUGAUAAACAUGUUUUGGAUUAAUUUUUUUUUUCUCAGAACAUGACUAUUUUUGAUGGAAGAAAAGUAAUGUGUCAACGUGGAACCCUUAUGGUUCCUGCUGCAGAUUGAACUAAGAUGAGAAUGUUGCAGCUACGCUACAUUCCUAAAAUUUUACUGACCAACUUUCUUAUUUCACCGUUGUCGAGGAAAACAUUGCAAUAUUUUUGUGUUUAGAGGUUUGCUGACCAUUUUAAAUAUUUGAUUGAGUUGUAAGACUAGAGACCGCGUUAUCAAUCCAAGAGACAGUGCUUGCGUCCGCAGGGUUCUUGUUAUUAAUUAUGGUUUUGACAGAUAUUUUUUAUGCAGAUGAAAUGUUGACAAACAAGAAUACUGGCGGUAAGGGAAUUUUUUUUUCUCGUGAGAUUUUUGCAAGAAAGAAGCUUAAGAUAAAUUGUAAUGAUGUAGGAAUGACAAGUCAAGGUCUCAGGAACUUUUACCAGUUCAUUUAAUCUUCAAAAAGUGGGACUUGCUGUGAAAUGUAGGAGGGCACAAUUUGGAACUGAGCAAAUUUUGGAGUUUGUUACAAAAUUUUAGGGUCUGGGAUUUUGGAUGGGGAUAGGAUAUGUUAAAUUGGAUUUAAUUGUUUCUAAGUAAUUGAGUAAAUUUUAGAAGUAACUUUGUAAGUUGCAAUUGAAAGAAAUGUGUUAAAUGGUCCCACCUUGCUCAGAUGUGCUCUCCAAAAUAAUGAUGGGGCAGAACUUUGAAUUGUUGAAUUUUAUCCAUUGUUCAGCUAUUUUUCUUUUUUGACAAACUGAUGUUCGCCAUGACUAGAUUCAGAGUAGUAAUGUUUCAACAUGCUUCUAAUCUCAACUUCUCAGGCCUUCCCAGCUAAGCUCAGAAAUUGUCACCCCAACUGAAUCACUUCUCAAUAGUAAGAAGUACUGGUUAGGCAGAGUUUAAUGUCUACUCUGUAGUUUACUUUAUGUAUUACAACAGCAUCUACACGUGACUGAUGCAGCAUUUCCCGUCUUAAGGUAGUCCAUCCUUAACUAAGGCAUAUUUAGCAAUUUUGAUUGAUCUAUACUACACCAAAUACGUAUUUUAAAAUUGUCAUGAGGCUGACAUAAACCAAACUCGAGAGUAUGUAUAUAUUCAAUUAAAUGAACUUAUAAAGAGUAGCGUGCCCAUUAGGGAAAAAUUUAUUUCUGAAAGUGUGUAUGGCAAAUUAUGAAUUAUUUUAGCAUAUUCGAAGAAAGGGAAAGCUUUUGCAUCUUUUUACCAAGAGAAAUGUGAGAAAGUUACUUGUACUAAAAAUUAAUUUAAAAAUGAAUUUUUCCCCAUAGACCUCAAUGUUAACUUAAACAUAUGAUAGAUUUGUUAAAAUUCAUUUUUCCCCCUUAAUUUCAAAGGUGAAUCUAUUAUUUAAUAAACCCCUUAUAAAUCGCACAAAGAUUUUGUUGACCAAGCUUGUAAUUUAUUUUAUAUGGAAUAUGAUAUUUAUGGAUGGAUUACCUUAAGAUACAUUUUUCAUUGAUGCCCUCGCUAUACUACUUAUGAUGUUUAAACGGAAAGGCCCGAGAAGUUAAGAUUCGACAUGGCCCAUUUCAAAUACAAAUUCUGAAAUCGUUGUCAUUCGAAAAUUUUGAUAUUGCUAAAUAAUCAAAAAUGAAAUCUAAAAUCUG